rnacentral:rRNA from 1 species
AACCUCCGCAAUGUGAGAAAUCGCGACGGGGGAAUCCCAAGUGCCAUUCUUAACGGGAUGGCUUUCAUUAGUGUAAAGAGCUUUUGGAAUAAGAGCUGGGCAAGACCGGUGCCAGCCGCCGCGGUAACACCGGCAGCUCUAGUGGUAGCAAUUUUUAUUGGGCCUAAAGCGUCCGUAGCCGGUUUAAUAAGUCUCUGGUGAAAUCCUGCAGCUUAACUGUGGGAAUUGCUGGAGAUACUAUUAGACUUGAGAUCGGGAGAGGUUAGAGGUACUCCCAGGGUAGAGGUGAAAUUCUGUAAUCCUGGGAGGACCGCCUGUUGCGAAGGCGUCUAACUGGAACGAUUCUGACGGUGAGGGACGAAAGUUAGGGGCGCGAACCGGAUUAGAUACCCGGGUAGUCCUAACUGUAAACGAUGCGGACUUGGUGUUGGGGUGGCUUUGAGCUGCUCCAGUGCCGAAGGGAAGCUGUAAGUCCGCCGCCUGGGAAGUACGGUCGCAAGACUGAAACUUAAAGGAAUU